AAAUUGAAGAGUUUGAUCAUGGCUCAGAUUGAACGCUGGCGGCAGGCCUAACACAUGCAAGUCGAACGGUAACAGGAAGCAGCUUGCUGCUUCGCUGACGAGUGGCGGACGGGUGAGUAAUGUCUGGGAAACUGCCUGAUGGAGGGGGAUAACUACUGGAAACGGUGGCUAAUACCGCAUAACGUCGCAAGACCAAAGAGGGGGACCUUCGGGCCUCUUGCCAUCAGAUGUGCCCAGAUGGGAUUAGCUAGUUGGUGAGGUAACGGCUCACCAAGGCGACGAUCCCUAGCUGGUCUGAGAGGAUGACCAGCCACACUGGAACUGAGA
rnacentral:rRNA from 3 species